CGGGUGCACUGAUCCGGCCGGGCCUUUCCCUCUGUGGAACCCCAUGGCCUUCACUGGCUGUGCGGGGGAAACAGGACUUUUACUGUGAAAAAAUUAGAGUGCUCCAGGCAGGCCUAUGCUCGAAUACAUUAGCAUGGAAUAAUAGAAUAGGACGCGUGGUUCUAUUUUGUUGGUUUCUAGGACCGCCGUAAUGAUUAAUAGGGACAGUCGGGGGCAUCAGUAUUCAAUUGUCAGAGGUGAAAUUCUUGGAUCUAUUGAAGACUAACUACUGCGAAAGCAUUUGCCAAGGAUGUUUUCAUUGAUAAGGAACGAAAGUUAGGGGAUCGAAGACGAUCAGAUACCGUCGUAGUCUUAACUAUAAACUAUGCCGACUAGGGAUCGGACGAUGUUAUUUCUUGACGCGUUCGGCACCUUUCGAGAAAUCAAAGUGCUUGGGCUCCAGGGGGAGUAUGGUCGCAAGGCUGAAACUUAAAGAAAUUGACGGAAGGGCACCACCAGGGGUGGAACCUGCGGCUUAAUUUGACUCAACACGGGGAAACUCACCAGGUCCAGACACAGUGAGGAUUGACAGAUUGAGAGCUCUUUCUUGAUUCUGUGGGUGGUGGUGCAUGGCCGUUCUUAGUUGGUGGAGUGAUUUGUCUGCUUAAUUGCGAUAACGAACGAGACCUUAAACCUGCUAAAUAGCCCGUACUGCUCUGGCAGUUCGCCGGCUUCUUAGAGGGACUAUCGG
rnacentral:rRNA from 1 species